AUAUAUCAGCAGCAUAUAUACUAAAAUCAUGAUACAGAGAAGAUUAGCAUGGCUCCUGCACAAGAACAACACACAAAUUCCUCAUAUAUUUCAUUUAAAA
rnacentral:snRNA from 1 species